rnacentral:snRNA from 1 species
GAGCUCCAAGUGGGCCAU